GCGUUUUUAAUUACCUGCACGGCUGCUCCCUCCCAUUAGUGUGGGAAAUGAAGGGUUGAGCGUUUAGCACUUAACAGUGAUAAUCCCAGCGCAAAAACUUUCAGAACAGCCCAUUGAUCCCCAAGUCCGAUGGAUAUGAGCCUGCUUCAGGUGGCUUGGGCUAGCUCUGUAGCAUCUUCACUGUUUGGGAUGGAAUGAAUGGCUGGAGGAAGCUCAGACCCAGCAAGCAGCUCAAGCCAAGCAAGCCGCACUGGGCCGGGCAUCUGGGAUGUGAAAAGCUAGCUGGCCAGACUUGGAGGGCGUGCAAGGACGGCCAUCUCAAGGACACACACUGGAUGGGCAGGUGCCUUAUGGAGUCAGGACAAGUGUUCCGGAGCCUGGCAGCUGGGGCCUGUCUGCUGGGUUGCAUGACCUCUGCUUUCCUCGUUAGCGUCAGGUGUGACAGAGGCCAGAGCCCCACUUUCAUCUGGGGCUGCCAUCAGGGGUGACCCCUUGAGAGGCAGUCUGUACACUCAGCUGCCAAUCAACUGCAUGAGAUAUCCACUGCAUCAUGCACUCAUCUG
rnacentral:lncRNA from 1 species